AUUGAACGCUGGCGGCAUGCCUUACACAUGCAAGUCGAACGGUAACAGGGAGCUUGCUCCGCUGACGAGUGGCGAACGGGUGAGUAAUGUAUCGGAACGUACCUUUUAGUGGGGGAUAACGUAGCGAAAGUUACGCUAAUACCGCAUAUUCUCUGAGGAGGAAAGCAGGGGACCUUCGGGCCUUGCGCUAAUAGAGCGGCUGAUAUCAGAUUAGCUAGUUGGUGAGGUAAAGGCUCACCAAGGCGACGAUCUGUAGCGGGUCUGAGAGGAUGAACCGCCACACUGGAACUGCGACACGGUCCAGACUCCUACGGGAGGCAGCAGUGGGGAAUUUUGGACAAUGGGGGCAACCCGGAUCCAGCCAUGCCGCGUGAGUGAAGAAGGCCUUCGGGUUGUAAAGCUCUUUCGGCCGGGAAAAAAUCGCAUGGGUUAAUACCCUGUGUGGAUGGUGGUACCGGAAUAAGAAGCACCGGCUAACUACGUGCCAGCCGCCGCCGUAAAAC
rnacentral:rRNA from 1 species